AUUGAACGCUGGCGGCAGGCCUAACACAUGCAAGUCGAACGAGUGGCGGACGGGUGAGUAAUGUCUGGGAAACUGCCUGAUGGAGGGGGAUAACUACUGGAAACGGUAGCUAAUACCGCAUACCAUCAGAUGUGCCCAGAUGGGAUUAGCUUGUUGGUGGGGUAACGGCUCACCAAGGCGACGAUCCCUAGCUGGUCUGAGGGGAUGAGCAGCCACAAUGGAACUGGGACACGGUGCAGACUCCAACGGGGGGAAGGAGUGGGGAAGAUUGCACAUGGGGCGCAAGCCGGAUGCAGCCAGGCCGGGUGUAUGAAGAAGGCCUGCGGGUUGUAAAGUACUUUCAGCGGGGAGGCGUUACCCGCAGAAGAAGCACCGGCUAACUCCGUGCCAGCAGCCGCGGUAAUU
rnacentral:rRNA from 1 species